UACAGAGGUCUCAAGCGUUGUUCGGAUUCAUUGGGCGUAAAGGGUGCGUAGGCGGCGCGGUAAGUCGGGUGUGAAAUCUUGGAGCUUAACUCCGAAACUGCAUUCGAUACUGCCGUGCUUGAGGACUGGAGAGGAGACUGGAAUUUACGGUGUAGCGGUGAAAUGCGUAGAUAUCGUAAGGAAGACCAGUGGCGAAGGCGGGUCUCUGGACAGUUCCUGACGCUGAGGCACGAAGGCCAAGGGAGCAAACGGG
rnacentral:rRNA from 1 species